rnacentral:rRNA from 1 species
UUUCCAGUAGUCAUAUGCUUGUCUCAAAAAUUAAGCCAUGCAAGUCUAAGUUUAAGCUGUCUACAGCGAAACUGCAGAAGGCUCAUUAUAUCAGUUAUCGUGUACACGACGGGCCGAAUUGCUAUAUGGAUAACUGUAGUAAUUCUAGAGCUAAUACAUGCCAAAAUCCUCUUUCUCUGAAAGGGGUGGCCUUAUUAGUUACAAAGCCAUCCUGUCCUUCGGGGCAGUUCUUUGGUGAUUCAUAAUAAUGGUGCCCAAUCGCCUUUUAGGUGAUACGUCGUUACAAUUUCUGCCCUAUCAGCUUUGAUGGUAGUGUAGUGGACUACCAUGGCUUUUACGGGUGACGGGGAAUUAGGGUUCGAUUCCGGAGAGGGAGCCUGAGAAACGGCUACCACUUCUAUGGAAGGCAGCAGGCGUGCAAAUUACCCAAUCCCAAUACGGGGAGGUAGUGACAAGAAAUAACAAUACCGGGGCUUUUGCUUUGGUAAUGGAAG